rnacentral:rRNA from 1 species
UGCAAGUCGUACGCUUUUUCUUUCACCGGAGCUUGCUCCACCGAAAGAAAAGGAGUGGCGAACGGGUGAGUAACACGUGGGUAACCUGCCCAUCAGAAGGGGAUAACACUUGGAAACAGGUGCUAAUACCGUAUAACAAUCGAAACCGCAUGGUUUUGAUUUGAAAGGCGCUUUCGGGUGUCRCUGAUGGAUGGACCCGCGGUGCAUUAGCUAGUUGGUGAGGUAACGGCUCACCAAGGCCACGAUGCAUAGCCGACCUGAGAGGGUGAUCGGCCACAUUGGGACUGAGACACGGCCCAAACUCCUACGGGAGGCAGCAGUAGGGAAUCUUCGGCAAUGGACGAAAGUCUGACCGAGCAACGCCGCGUGAGUGAAGAAGGUUUUCGGAUCGUAAAACUCUGUUGUUAGAGAAGAACAAGGAUGAGAGUAACUGUUCAUCCCUUGACGGUAUCUAACCAGAAAGCCACGGCUAACUACGUGCCAGCAGCCGCGGUAAUACGUAGGUGGCAAGCGUUGUCCGGAUUUAUUGGGCGUAAAGCGAGCGCAGGCGGUUUCUUAAGUCUGAUGUGAAAGCCCCCGGCUCAACCGGGGAGGGUCAUUGGAAACUGGGAGACUUGAGUGCAGAAGAGGAGAGUGGAAUUCCAUGUGUAGCGGUGAAAUGCGUAGAUAUAUGGAGGAACACCAGUGGCGAAGGCGACUCUCUGGUCUGUAACUGACGCUGAGGCUCGAAAGCGUGGGGAGCAAACAGGAUUAGAUACCCUGGUAGUCCACGCCGUAAACGAUGAGUGCUAAGUGUUGGAGGGUUUCCGCCCUUCAGUGCUGCAGCUAACGCAUUAAGCACUCCGCCUGGGGAGUACGACCGCAAGGUUGAAACUC